rnacentral:rRNA from 1 species
GCCUCCCCUCCCGCCGCCGACUCACGACUACCGUACCGGGACGGGCGAGCAGGUGGGAAGUAGUUGCGCAAUGGGCGGAAGCCUGACGCAGCGACGCCGCGUGAGGACGACGGCCGUCGGUUGUAACCUCUUCAGCACAGACCAAGGCCAUGUUUCUGCAUGGUUGAGUGUAUGUGCAGAAGAAGCACCGGCUAACUACGUGCCAGCAGCCGCGUAAUAC